rnacentral:lncRNA from 1 species
CUUGACUUCUCUAACUACAUCACAGUAGCUCAUCACCGCUUCAACAAACUUGAGCAUUCCCAGGCCAGCUCUGCUAACAAGUUCCAUUUCAGUGAAGGUAGUAUUAAGACUCUUUAACACAGCUCGGACAGAUUUCACUUGGCCGUAAGUAAUUCCAUCAAAAUCUAAUUCCAUCAGAGAUCGCAGGAAAUUUGCCUCUGACAUCAUUCCUUUGGCUGUCUUCCAGUUUAAUUC